ensembl:misc_RNA Metazoa_SRP Metazoan signal recognition particle RNA
GCCGGGCGCGGUGGCUCACGCCUGUAAUCCCAGCACUUUGGGAGGCCGAGGUGGGCGGAUCACCUGAGGUCAGGAGUUCGAGACCAGCCUGGCCAACAUGGUGAAACCCCGUCUCUA